AAACAUUUUACAGAGUACACUGUAGGCAC
rnacentral:misc_RNA from 1 species